UAAAGAAACCAUAUUCGGGGUUCACCCCGAGUAACGUCGGGUUGCGGGUAGACAACCGACGCAUGAGCUCAUGGCCUGCACUAGGAACAGCCAUGCAUCAUAAAUUGUUUGCACAUUUGAUUGUGAUUGUUUACUGUUCAUUCUUUUUGCGAUGUGCCAUCUGCUUCUUGUUAAUUCUCUAUUUUCUGAUUCUUGUCUAUAUUUUAAGAUUAUGACGUAACUUUCUCAAAGCUUAGAAUAAGGUAAUAGAGUUAGGAAUAAUAAUCAUAGAGAACAGCGUGAGAACGGCAUUCAUCCCAAAGAAAGAUGCCAAGAAAGAGUUAUGUCAGAACCCACGAUACGAAAGUAGCCGAGAGACUUAGUAAGCGAGUUAUUACGAUAGAG
rnacentral:lncRNA from 1 species